rnacentral:rRNA from 1 species
GACGAACGCUGGCGGCGUGCUUAACACAUGCAAGUCGAACGGUGAAGCGCCUUCCUUUUUGGUGGGUGUGGAUGAGCGGCGAACGGGUGAGUAACACGUGAGUAACCUGCCCCCUUCUUCUGGAUAACCGCAUGAAAGUGUGGCUAAUACGGGAUAUUCUGGGUCUGUCGCAUGAUGGGUCUGGGAAAGAUAUUGUUUCGGUGGGGGAUGGGCUCGCGGCCUAUCAGCUUGUUGGUGGGGUGAUGGCCUACCAAGGCGGUGACGGGUAGCCGGCCUGAGAGGGUGGACGGUCACACAGGGACUGAGACACGGCCCAGACUCCUACGGGAGGCAGCAGGGGGGAAUAUUGCACAAUGGGCGCAAGCCUGAUGCAGCGACGCCGCGGGAGGGAUGGAGGCCUGCGGGUUGUGAACCUCUUUCGCCAGUGAAGCAGGCCUGCCUCGUUUGUGGGUGGGUUGACGGUAGCUGGAGAAGAAGCGCCGGCUAACUACGUG